rnacentral:lncRNA from 1 species
GUGCAGUCAGAAUUAUUUCAAGCCCUUUGAUGUGAUCUAUUACAUUGGAAGUUAACGUCUGUAGUUCAGUAACAUAAUCCAGAAAGUGUGUAAAUACAGGUGGCAUAGCUACAUUGGUUUCUUUUUUUUUCUUCUUCUUUUUUUGCAGGUUGGAUUUAAAAGGUCGAAGGACACCAUCACAGUAACUUGAUACCCACUGAGUGAUGGAGAUGGUCUCAACAAAGAAGACUAAGUUUUCUAGCAGGUUUGGCUGAGUUUUCAAGGUGCCAUCUCUGACUUCAAUCAAGUCACCUUUACAUUUAUUGAACAAGUCCGUUAGGCGUUCUAUUAAAGACUUGAAACUAUUCCCUAUCCUCUCCUGGACUUCUGCUGAAUCUUCUGAAAGAAAAAAAAAGACAGCUAUAAACUAUAGGUUCUUUGUCUCCUGCUCCCAGAAAGGAUGCUGUAUUACAUCAACAUACACCACAAAAUUGAAGACAUGGAUAAAGCAUUGAAGUGCUGUUUCCCAGGUAAUAGUGUCAUUCAAAAAAUAAAACAAGUCAUAGUUUGGUCCACAUCACCCAAUAUCUAGCAGUUUUCAUACUAAGUGGAA